UGAUAGAAAGGCAUCGUUCACAUCAGAAUAAAUCCCUUUAAUGGUACAAAAUUGCUCGACAUUAAUGUUUUAUAUUGAAAAUAACACACAAAGCUGUUAGAAAAACGACUUUACCAGCAUUUUACAUCUCAGCAGGUAAUUGGACUGAUGUUAAGGAAAGCCGUAAAAUUGCACACUGUAAAAUAUCACAAAUUAGCAGAGACAGAACAUGAACCUUGAUACAUAAAUACAUUGAAUUCUUUAAUUUACACUGGGCUAUUCCAUCGUCGUGAUGGUGUAUGAAUGGAACGACCAUUAAAAUUUAGUUUUAAAUGUUUUGGUUAAAAUAAAAAUUAAUAAAGGCC